rnacentral:lncRNA from 1 species
CCACUCCCACAGCAUUCCUCUGGCAAGUUCUGCAGCCUUUGUCUGCGAAGAUGUUCAGCUGCUCCUCUCUCCCUGCGGCCUCCUCUGCCCCUCUCUGGGGGCUAGAAAUACCUCUGGGCAGCCUCCCUCCUCCAAUCCUGAGCAAGAUGCUGCUCCAGAAGUGUGGAGGAUUUGGCUCAGCCACAGCAGCCUGAACAACCAGCUGCUGCAGAAGAAGAGGCCCCAGCAGAAGCUAAGGAGGCAAAUGGAAAGGGUGAAAACGAAGCUUCCUUACCUUCCCACCAUAAAUCUUUCGUCUGAUUUGUUAGUAGAGAGUAUAUUGUGCUUGGAAUCACUGGUCAACAACUCAUGUGAAUCUGCAUCAGAAUUGGAAUUCCUAGGUAUGAUGGAAAUAAUUUUGGUUUUUUUAAUUACAAAAUAAAAAUGUGCUUGAACUAAUUUUCACUUUGUUUUCUCUAUUUCUUUACAAAUGCUGU